GGAAAAGUUAACAAAGAUGGCACUACCGGACAAAUACAAAAGUGCAGUUAGAUAAAUCUGGGGAAAAGAAGACCACAGAACGGCACUUGCUACUUGCUAUAAUGUUAAACCCAUUUUUCAUCAUCAACAUUAUAAACCUAAUUAAACAAGACUUAAAGUUUCGGUCUAGGAGGAUAUAACCAGAAAGAGUUAACAAGCAAAGCCAUUAUGGUAAUAAACAAAAUUGGAAAUUUAAGACGAGCGUAAGCUAAACUCUUCUUAGGUUGCAAUGGCAUGCCUUUGGAUGAUCUGAAAACCACUUUUCCUAGCGAAGCCAGAGACAAUGCAAGUCAUUCCUUUCUUCACAAGAAAAUAAAAUUGCAUGUUCUGUGAUGCCGAUCAGCUAAUGGCCACUAAGAAGUGAUAUGUAAGUCACUAAAUGGUUGUAUGGAGCGCUGUCUGGCCUUAGUUUCAUCAUCAUCCAUAUUGUGCUGGUUGAGAGUAGCUAAUCAGCUUUCUGACAAGUGGAAUUAAGCUUAUCAAAGCAAUCUGAAGCUGUUCUGAGCUGUUCAAACGGAUACUGACUUGUCCAGAUCCUUUAUUGUUAAUGUUGACACGGCCAAUCAAGUUUGUGUAUCGUCCAAUAGGUAUCUGUGUUUGUGAAUUACAUCCGAUAGCAAGAUCUCCAUGCCAGUCCAUAACCGAGAGGCCCAAGGUUGAGAGGAAACGACCAAGAGGAUGGUCUUUGUCUCGCAAUGUCGCUUCCAAACUACCACCAUAAGCAGCAUCACCACGGCCAAACAUGGCUCCCCCAGACACAACCAAAGAUCCCCGUCUAUUAAAAGUUAACCUGUCCUCAAUUUUCACCCCACCUGUCAUGACGUCACCUAAGAGAGUUACUGAAAGACCAGCUGUCGCCUUAUUCUUCCUAUAAUUGCAGAAUCUGGUCUCACUGCGAAGAGUAUAAGCUAGGUCUUUACCAACUGACUGCAUAUCAAAACCUAAAGAAGUUGCUUUUCCAUGCCCAUGCUUCACUGAACUUGCAAUUUCCAUUUGAAGAUUGGUGUCCUUUUUGUCCUUUGAAACCUGACUGGACAGAGAUAUAGGGAUCUUGUCUUUGACAACAAACAAUCUUUCUACGUUGAUGCCCUCAUAACCAACAUCAUGGUCCCAGCCGUUGGGUUCUAG
rnacentral:misc_RNA from 1 species